rnacentral:rRNA from 1 species
AAAAGAACCCCUUUACGGGGAGUGAAAUAGAACAUGAAACCGUAUGCUUACAAUUUGUGGGAGGAUGAACACAUCUGACCGCAUGCCUGUUGAAGAAUGAUCUGGCGACUUAGAAGAAGUGGCAGGUUAAGAUUUUCCAUCGAAGCCAAAGCGAAAGCAUGUCUGAUAAGGGCUCUCGUCCCUUCUUCUAGACCCGAACCCAGGUGAUCUAACCAUGACCAGAAUGAAGCUUUGGUGAUACGAAGUGGAGGUUCGAACCGACCGAUGUUGAAAAAUCGACGGAUGAGUUGUGGUUAGGGGUGAAAUGCCAAUCGAACUUGGAGCUAGCUGGUUCUCCUCGAAAUGCGUUGAGGCGCAGCGGUUGAUUAUGGGCUUCUAGGGGGUAAAGCGCUGUCUCGGUGCGGGCUGCGAAAGCGGUACCAAUCUGUUGCAAACUCGGAAUACCUAGAACGCUUUCAAUCAGCCAGUGAGACUGCGGGGGAUAAGCUCCGUAGUCAAAAGGGAAACAGCCCAGACCACCAGCUAAGGCUCCUAAAUAAAAGCUAAGUGGCAAAGGAGGUAAAAAUGCAGUGACAAUCAGGAGGUUUGCCUAGAAGCAGCCACCCUUUAAAGAGUGCGUAAUAGCUCACUGAUCAAGCGUUUUCGCGCCGAAAAUGACCGGAACUAAGUUUUUUGCCGAAGCUGUGGCUACAUCACAUAGAUGAUGUAGGGUAGAGGAGCGUUCCGUCCAGGGGGAAGCCAAGCGCGUAAGCCGCGGUCGACAGGACGGAAGUGAGAAUGUCAGAUUGAGUAACGUAAACAUUGGUGAGAAUCCAAUGCCCCGAAAACUCAAGGGUUCCUGCGCAAGGCUCGUCCGCGCAGGGUCAGUCAGGACCUAAGGUGAGGCCGAAAGGCGUAAUUGAUGGCAAGAAGGUUUAUAUUCCUUCACUAGUCUAGGCUUAGUCCUGAGGGACGAACAAAUACCAAUCUACACAACAGCCAUACUUGGCAGUUUGGAUAAACCUGUUGCUGUUUGAUGCUAUUUAUUCCAAGAAAAGCUCAUUCGACUUUGAGUCUAGACUACCUGUACCGUAAACCGACACAGGUGAGUGGGUUGAAUAAACUAAGGGGAGCGAGAUAACUCUCUCUAAGGAACUCGGCAAAUUGGCUCUGUACCUUCGGAAGAAAGAGUGCCCCUCAGGGGGCCACAGUAAAGAGAUCCAGGCGACUGUUUACCAAAAACACAGGUCUCCGCAAAGUCGUAAGACGACGUAUGGGGGCUGACACCUGCCCAGUGCCAGAAGGUUAAAGAAGUUGGUCAAUCUUUGAUGAAGCUAACAACUGAAGCCCUGGUGAACGGCGGCAGUAACUAUAACUGUCCUAAGGUAGCGAAAUUCCUUGUCGGGUAAGUUCCGACCCGCACGAAAGGUGUAACGAUCUGGAUACUGUCUCAGAGAGAGACUCGGUGAAAUAAAACUAGCUGUGAAGAUGCGGCUUACCUGCACACGGACAGAAAGACCCUAUGAAGCUUUACUGUAACCUGGAAUUGCUUUCAAGCUUAUUUUGCGCAGCUUAGGUGGGAGGCUACGAACCUUUUCUUCCGGGAAGAGGGGAGCCAUCAGUGAGAUACCACUCUUGGUAAGCUAGAAAGCUCAGUCUUAACCGUUAUCCGGUAAGAUGACAGUUUCAGGCGGGCAGUUUGACUGGGGCAGUCACCUCCCAAAAGGUAAUGGAGGUGCACAAAGGUUCCCUCAGGUUGGACGGAAAUCAACCAUAGAGUGUAAAAGCAUAAGGGAGCUUGACUGCGAGACUGACAUGUCAAGCAGAGACGAAAGUCGGUUUUAGUGAUCCGACGGUGCUGCGUGGAAAGGCCGUCGCUCAACGGAUAAAAGUUACUCUAGGGAUAACAGGCUAAUCUCCCCCAAGAGUUCACAUCGACGGGGAGGUUUGGCACCUCGAUGUCGGCUCGUCGCAUCCUGGAGCGGAAGUACGUUCCAAGGGUUGGGCUGUUCGCCCAUAGAAAGCGGCACGCGAGCUGGGUUCAGAACGUCGUGAGACAGUUUGGUCCAUAUCCUGUGUAGGCGUU